UACGGGGGAGCAAGCGUUGUUCGGAUUUGCUGGGCGUAAAGGGCGCGUAGGCGGCCACGCAAGUCGACUGUGAAAUCUCCGGGCUUAACCCGGAAAGGUCAGCCGAUACUGCGGGGCUAGAGUGCAGAAGGGGCAACUGGAAUUCCUGGUGUAGCGGUGAAAUGCGCAGAUAUCAGGAGGAACACCGGUGGCGAAGGCGGGUCUCUGGGCAAUAACUGACGCUGAGGAGCGAAAGCGUGGGGAGCGAACAGG
rnacentral:rRNA from 1 species